rnacentral:lncRNA from 1 species
AAUCAAUAGGCUUAUAGCCUAGAUGGGAUAAAAGUCUGGAAGGCUCCAUGCUGUUGAUGCCUCCUGCCUACCAUGUUAUGGACUGUUUCUUCUCUGAGAUGCCCCCUCCACCAUGCUGCCCUGCCUUGGAUCCAGCUGACUAUGAACUGAAACUUCUACAAACUAUUCUUUGGUUCUGAGACUGAAUUGUUUAUGAAAAUCUUUCACUCAUCAGACCUACCAUUAGCUCAACUAGAUGGGUCACAAAUGUCCCCAACCCUGGAGAAAUGUGGCUGAAUGCUGUGAGGGUGCCCAAGGGAAUUCAAAAGGAAUGAAGUGCCUGGCGGUCACGGACCUUUCCAGACAGAGGAGCAGGGGAUAUUGGAGCUGUUUGUCCUUGACAGGAAUCCAUGCUGAUUUAAAACAUUCAGCAUGGGUUUUGUUGGGUCACAGGGCUUACUGCUUGCAAAGUGUGUCAUGCUGAAUCCAAGCACUUCCAACAUUUAGAGACAUGUGCCUGUGUCCUAAGACAAGAAUAAGAAAUAUUCUCCAAAUGUCUACCUUCACCAGCACUGCCAGAAAGUAUCGGAGUCAUCUUGUCUGGGGCAGUCUCAUCUUUCCCCACUGGUCCUGGAACAUGGAGUGCAGCAUAUUGUUCUUUGGAUAAGCCUGUUUAUCAGGUUGUAAGACAGAGUAUAAUGCUUCCACAUCUCAGUAGUCCCUGGGUUGUAUUUGGAAAAUAGACAGAUUUCCAAACCACAGAUGGAAUCAGUUUCCUUCCUCAAAAUGUUUAUUUUUUAAGCUGCUAUAUGAUAGACACA